AUUGAACGCUGGCGACAUGCUUUACACAUGCAAGUCGAACGGUAACAGGGUGCUUGCACCGCUGACGAGUGGCGAACGGGUGAGUAAUGCGUCGGAACGUGCCGAGUAGUGGGGGAUAACGCAGCGAAAGUUGUGCUAAUACCGCAUACGUACUGAGGUAGAAAGUGGGGGACCUUCGGGCCUCACGCUAUUCGAGCGGCCGACGUCUGAUUAGCUAGUAGGUGAGGUAAAGGCUCACCUAGGCGACGAUCAGAAGCGGGUCUGAGAGGAUGAUCCGCCACACUGGGACUGAGACACGGCCCAGACUCCUACGGGAGGCAGCAGUGGGGAAUUUUGGACAAUGGGCGAAAGCCUGAUCCAGCCAUGCCGCGUGCAGGAUGAAGGCCUUCGGGUUGUAAACUGCUUUUGUACGGAACGAAAAGGUUUGGCCUAAUAAGCUGAGCUCAUGACGGUACCGUAAGAAUAAGCACCGGCUAACUACGUGCCAGCAGCCGCCGUAA
rnacentral:rRNA from 1 species